rnacentral:tRNA from 1 species
UAGCUCAGUUGGUAGAGUGCUUGCCUUGCAUGCAUAGGCCCUGGGUUCAAUCCCCAG